UACGUAGGGGGCAAGCGUUGUCCGGAUUUAUUGGGCGUAAAGAGCUCGUAGGCGGUUUGUCGCGUCUGCUGUGAAAACCCGAGGCUCAACCUCGGGCCUGCAGUGGGUACGGGCAGACUAGAGUGCGGUAGGGGAGACUGGAAUUCCUGGUGUAGCGAUGGAAUGCGCAGAUAUCAGGAGGAACACCAAUGGCGAAGGCAGAUCUCUGGGCCGUAACUGACGCUGAGGAGCGAAAGCAUGGGGAGCGAACAGG
rnacentral:rRNA from 1 species